rnacentral:rRNA from 1 species
UCAGGUGUCCCAUAUCAUGACGACGGCGAUGACCCCGACGCCGAGCACGACGGCGAGCCAGCGGCCGAGGGGCGUGUCGGCGGCGACGGGCCGCUGGGGCUUGUACCCCUUGGAGAGGAGGUGGUUGACGGAGACGUAGAUGAAGAUGCCGGUGGCGAGGCCCAUGGAGACGGCGAAGAUCCAGUCGGCCACGGCGCCCUGCGUGGUGGCGUCGAUGGCGAUGCCGACGGCGACGCCGAUGGGGCUGGAGACGGCGAAGGCGAAGGCGUAGGCGAAGCAGGAGAGCAGCGGCCGGUUGGGCAGCAUCCGGAGCAGCGCGAUGCCCAUGGCCACCGCCGCGAACACCUUGUGCAGGCUGAUCGUCCACAGCGCCUUCCACGCGUCCGCCUUCGUCUCGGCGACUCCGAUGGCGAUGCCCUCGAAGACGGAGUGGAAGCAGAGCGCUGCGAUGAGCAGUAUGCUGUCGCCGAGGGUGCUGGCGUUCCGCAGCAUCGACGCCGUCGAGUGGCCCGUCGCCGACGGCCCGUGCGCGUCCUGCUCAGCUGCUUGUUGAUCCGAGCCGUUGCCAUUCGUGCUGCUCAGCUUGCCCUCCUCCAGCUCCCCCGGGGCGGCGGCGGCGGCGGGCGCGGUGCGGCCGCGCGCGACGACGGAGGAGAUGGCGCACUCGGCGAGCAUGGUGAGGACGUAGCCGGCGCAGGCGAGCAUGAAGGCGAACGGGUACUCGCUGUGGGGGAGGAGGUCCCCGAAGGUCUCGUUGGCGUCGCUGAGGAAGUGCAUCAUGGCGGUGCUGAGGAAGACCCCGCCGGCGAACUGCGUGCCCAGCGCCAGGAACGCCUCGUUCCACCGCAU